UGUCCUUAGGGAAGCUCAUCAGUGGGGCUACAAGCUGAGUGUGUCAUGUCUCUCUCCACCAUGUCCCUUGGAAAGGUCUGAGACUAGGGCCAACAGAAGCCCUAACAGGGUCCUCUCUGAGCCUGAGGAAGGCCAGUUCCCAGAGAGCAGGACUCCGCGUGAGGGCAUGGUGGGUAAGUGAACAUGUCCUUAACAGCCCUUUGGCCUCUAGGUGAUGUGAUGCAAUGGACAGAGGUUCAGACCAGAACAGUAAACUUGGCUCUGUGCUGGCUGGGCCCCAUUUGUCCAUCUAUAGCAUGAGGGAGGGUUUCACUAGGUGGCUGUACCCAGCCAUCGCUUCUCCCCGGCA
rnacentral:lncRNA from 1 species